rnacentral:rRNA from 1 species
AGCUUGCUCUCGGGUGACGAGCGGCGGACGGGUGAGUAAUGUCUGGGAAACUGCCUGAUGGAGGGGGAUAACUACUGGAAACGGUAGCUAAUACCGCAUAACGUCGCAAGACCAAAGUGGGGGACCUUCGGGCCUCAUGCCAUCAGAUGUGCCCAGAUGGGAUUAGCUAGUAGGUGGGGUAACGGCUCACCUAGGCGACGAUCCCUAGCUGGUCUGAGAGGAUGACCAGCCACACUGGAACUGAGACACGGUCCAGACUCCUACGGGAGGCAGCAGUGGGGAAUAUUGCACAAUGGGCGCAAGCCUGAUGCAGCCAUGCCGCGUGUGUGAAGAAGGCCUUCGGGUUGUAAAGCACUUUCAGCGGGGAGGAAGGCGGUAAGGUUAAUAACCUUGGCGAUUGACGUUACCCGCAGAAGAAGCACCGGCUAACUCCGUGCCAGCAGCCGCGGUAAUACGGAGGGUGCAAGCGUUAAUCGGAAUUACUGGGCGUAAAGCGCACGCAGGCGGUCUGUCAAGUCGGAUGUGAAAUCCCCGGGCUCAACCUGGGAACUGCAUUCGAAACUGGCAGGCUAGAGUCUUGUAGAGGGGGGUAGAAUUCCAGGUGUAGCGGUGAAAUGCGUAGAGAUCUGGAGGAAUACCGGUGGCGAAGGCGGCCCCCUGGACAAAGACUGACGCUCAGGUGCGAAAGCGUGGGGAGCAAACAGGAUUAGAUACCCUGGUAGUCCACGCCGUAAACGAUGUCGAUUUGGAGGUUGUGCCCUUGAGGCGUGGCUUCCGGAGCUAACGCGUUAAAUCGACCGCCUGGGGAGUACGGCCGCAAGGUUAAAACUCAAAUGAAUUGACGGGGGCCCGCACAAGCGGUGGAGCAUGUGGUUUAAUUCGAUGCAACGCGAAGAACCUUACCUGGUCUUGACAUCCACAGAACUUUCCAGAGAUGGAUUGGUGCCUUCGGGAACUGUGAGACAGGUGCUGCAUGGCUGUCGUCAGCUCGUGUUGUGAAAUGUUGGGUUAAGUCCCGCAACGAGCGCAACCCUUAUCCUUUGUUGCCAGCGGUUAGGCCGGGAACUCAAAGGAGACUGCCAGUGAUAAACUGGAGGAAGGUGGGGAUGACGUCAAGUCAUCAUGGCCCUUACGACCAGGGCUACACACGUGCUACAAUGGCAUAUACAAAGAGAAGCGACCUCGCGAGAGCAAGCGGACCUCAUAAAGUAUGUCGUAGUCCGGAUUGGAGUCUGCAACUCGACUCCAUGAAGUCGGAAUCGCUAGUAAUCGUAGAUCAGAAUGCUACGGUGAAUACGUUCCCGGGCCUUGUACACACCGCCCGUCACACCAUGGGAGUGGGUUGCAAAAGAAGUAG